AUGCUUUCUACAGUCACGAGGAAGAAGCAAGAGCCUUGCAAGGAAUGAUGGGAUAGCGCCUUUAUUGUGGGACAAACUAAUUGCUUAAUGAAUAGCCAAUAACAUUUCCUCAUACUCUGGUUUCUCUUUGGAUCUUAUAAACCCUUUGUCUUUUACCAAAAAAAAAAAAAAAAAAAAAUCAAAACCAAAACCAAAAAACAAAAACAUUUCCUUAUGUAAAGGGACAUGACUUUUAAAAAAUAUGAAUAUUUCCACUUUUCUUGUGGUUCUCCCUCCUGUCCUUCUGUCUUUUCAACCAGUUGUCAAUCCUUGCCUCAGAAGAGUUUAUGAUUCUACAGAACAGCAAAGAAAAGCUUUUGGGUUUCAAAGGUAUUGACUUUUAUGUUGUAAAAAUCUCAGGUCCAAAGGGAAAGUUGAUGAUAUAAGAGUAAGGUUCCUGUUUGCAUCCUUUUCUCCCACUGCAGGGUUGGGGAAAAGAAGCCCUCUGCACACCAGAAUUACCCAGAGACAUGGAACACUUAGCACUGCAUCAUAUGUUGGCCUUACAGAGGUCCUCCGUAUUCCAAUGUGAGGAAGGAAGUGGUGGUACAUUUGCAGAAGGCACUAAAUUAAGCGACUCUAAUGAACCAGAUAGAAGGGACCACUGCAACAGGAUUUAGUUUCCUCCUCGAACCAUGAAAGAGACCAGGAGAGAAUAGGCCUUCCUCUUUGGCAGCCAACAUGGAAACAGGAUGAACAAGACCAGGAGGAGGUUUUCCUCUGUUUCACAGGUAUUCCAUAGUCACUGGAAACUCAUAUGCAUCCUGGAAAGCAGUAAUAUUGACUUUCCACCACAAAGUCAAAGUUUGCAACAGAAGCUAAGUUGUUAUAAAAGAAAAUAAUUGCUUUAAUAUACGGACUGAAAUUUGCACCCAAUGCAUUUAGAUUUUGAAUGUUACUGUUCAAAAAGCCAAGUCUGAAGCCAAAUGUUUUUUUCUUUCUCUUUUAAUGUUGAUUUGCUUUUUCUGCCUGGAUGCUUCAACAAUUCUAACUUCAUCUUUAAAAUUUAGUAACUUAAUGAGAAUAUACCUGGCUUGCUUAUUCUGCAACAGCUUUCAUAUUAGAAGAUAUAUUUUAAAAUUUUUAUUUAGUUUUAUUCAAAAUUUAAAGAAAUACUUUUGUAUUCUUUCUCCAUAUACCUUUUCUUUCCUAUUUUUCAAUGAUUGAUAGAUGUCAUUUAUCUGCUAUUUAUAUUCACCAAUUUCUUUUCAUUAGCUUUGAGCUUUUUGUCUUUUUCUCUCUGCAUUUAUACAUGUUUUAAGACAUUUUCCAUGCUGUAAUUUCAAUUUUUAACUUGUUUUCUUCUGUUUCUAAUUUAUGUAUUAGGUCUAUAAUAAUAGAAUCUUUUGUUUCUCAUUUUUUCCCCUUUAGCACUUCAGUUUCCCUAAUUUGUUUUAUCAUCUUGUCUUUGAGUUCUUUUAUUGAAUUCAUUUUCUUCUAAAUUCUUUUAUACUGUGAAGUACUUGUGGGAAAUAAGUUCUGUUCUUUGGGUUAUGUCUUCUUGAUGAUGGAUUCUUCAUAUGUUAUUCACUAGCUAAUUUUUUUUUCAACUGUAGUCUGUUGCCAUUGUUUCCGUGGCAUGCAUUUUCAUUCGGUUAUUGGUUAACAGAGUGCUUUGUCUGGAAGUUUCUGUUAUGACAUAGUAUGGGUAAAUUCUCUUUGCUAUAGUUCCUUUGUUUUGGAGAGUUGUUUGAUUGUUAAUUUAGGUGCUACAUUUUGACGGCUUGGUUGUCUGUUCUAUCGGCUUUUCUGAAGCCUGAGGGUUCAAGGAUUAAAGAAUUAUAACCCUUGUUCUGGACAAUUUGGGUUUGGCUUUCUCACUGAAAUCCUACAAAUGUCUCCUACUAGGGACUACCUAUUUCCAUUAAUAUUAUCUAUUUUCUCCAUCUGAAGGUGGAGCACGGACUAUUCUCUCAUGUUGAAUGUGGCACUUUUUACAUACAAGCAGGAGAGCAACUACACCAAGAUUUUGGAAAACAUGUUAUGUAAGGUUAAUUGUGACCUCUAUGAUGGGGAUAUGAUAAAGAAGAAAAGUACCUCACAGCGAUGAUUGGCAUGUGAUCACUUAGCCAAUGAGAUAAGAGGCUGUAGAAACGAUGUGAUAAUGACAUCUCCUGAGUUGCAGGUCCAUAUUAGAAGUGGAUAUGAAGUAAACAUUGAGCUUUCCUCACAUUUAAUUAACAAGCUUUAUUAUAGAUACAGCUCAAAUUAGUUAAUUCAGGAAGCUUAUUUUGUAGAAAUUAAAACAUUAAUAAACACAUACAUUUAGAAAUAAAGAACUCGGCUGACCCUUUGACUCUUUGAAACAAGUGGCCUUCCAUGCUGUGAAAGAUUGUAGCCACUCUUUGAGACAUUGGAAUGGUGUCCAUUGCAUUUUAUCAAGUUAACUAUAGGUCAGCCUGGGAAAUCUGAAGUUUCCUUAUCUCCUGUCACUGUGGUUGCUGUGAGAUUUUGUGUCAUCACUGUGCUGUCUUCCCUCUCCACAUGAAGGUGAGCUGUCUGGCUUCACUCUAACGUUUGUGAUUUCACGCCCGACCUGAUUGUUGCCAAGCAAUUCCUUUGUUUGGAGAAUUCUGUGCUUUGUUUAGAAUUUUUUAAAGGUUCUUUUCCUGUGGUCAGAUUUCUGUUUGCUACUGUGUCUUAUGCCUUGUUCUCCUACAGAGAAGAUUCUUUGAAGUUAGUGGAAGCUCAGCUUAAAGGAAGAUCUACUGCUCUGUGUGGUGGAUGACCAUGGGGGAGCGAGAAGGCAGCCUCCGGCUUUUGUUUUGUGUGUGUGUGUGUGUGUGUGUGUGUGUGAUGUACCUGGAAAAAUAACACGACUAGGAUUAAAGAGUAUGUUUGGCAUGUUUAAAAUAAAU
rnacentral:lncRNA from 1 species